rnacentral:lncRNA from 1 species
CUCUACUUUAGAAAGAAAAAAGAUGUAACAGCACGAAAGCUUAAGUAUGCUACAAAUAGAACAACAAAAUAUUAGAAAGAAGUUUUGAAAUGCUACUUUUGUAACCUGGAAGUUGGGAGAUCUUCCCUUAACCAGAACAGAAAACCCAAAACCUUAAAGAAAAGUUAAAUAUAUUUUACAGUAUCAAAUUAGGUAUUUUUACAUGGCAAGUACAAAUUAUAGCAAUCUAACAAGUGAUAGACUGAGAAAAAUGUCUGCAGUUCAUAUGAUAAAGGGUUAGCGUCCUUCAUAGACCAAAUUCUCUUACUUCAUGUUGAGAAAAAGUCAAGCAAUGCAAUGGGAAAAAUAGCAAAGAACAGGAACUAGCCAUGUGCCAAAGACGAUCUACGGACAACUAAUAAGAAUUUAAAAUGAGGCACAGUGCGGGGUUAGGGAAAUGCGAACUCUGGCAACAGCAGAGCCUGCUUCUCCGCUUUGGAACAGCAAACAUCAAAACUCCGCACCUCUGGAGCUGCUGAGGGUGCGGGGAAUUAGUUCACGUUUCUGGCAGAAGUGCAUACUGAAAUGAUCUUUUGAGAAUCUUAUCUGGCCUUGUCUGCUAAAUUAAAAGUGAAUGUGAUUUAUCCAGCGAUUGCUCAGGGGGGCGGGGGCCGGUGGCUAGGGGAAAAGUAUCACGCAGGCAUUUUAGCAUUUGUGUGCAUAAACCUAGGGGUUUAGGGGUGUUUAUUGAAGCCUUUUUAUGAGGACAAAACCUUGCACCCCUGCCAGCUGCCUGCCUUUAGCAGACGUUGAGUGGAACACGGCGCCUGUCCUCAGCCAGCCUCAGGAGGAAGAGGCUUUCCUUUAUGUGAAGCCAUGGCUGACCCCAGGGUCCCUGGUCCCCAUACUGUUGAUGUGCAAACAGGCACUUUCCCAAGGCAGCUGUCCACCAAAAGAGCUGGCUCAGCAGCAGCUGGAGAUGUGAAGUAGCAGAGAAGGCCGUGUUCUAAGAGUCCGGUGUGGGACGGGUCCUGGUUUUGCUUAAAAAUAAUGAGACAGAAAAGAAGCCCACUGGUAUGUGUAAUGUGAGGUGUGUGUGUGUUUGCACACACAUAGAGAAAGGCACAGAGACAGAUUAAUGAUAAACCAAGUUUCUCAGGUUGCACCUCACAGGUGCGUUUGACGCAGGAGGGAGAUCGCUAACUUUUCCAUCACAUUAUCUGACUUGCUACAAUGAGCAUACGCUACUUUGGUAAUUAAAACAUCAGAAAGCAAAACAGAGCAAAAAUCAAGUAGAGCGAAAAAAAAUCGUAAGGUUUUAGAUUGCUAGAUUAGGACGUUAGUCUCCAAGCCAAAAGUAGAGUGUGGACUAUUUUUGGGGAGAGGGGACAAAGUCCUCCCUUUCUGGGGUAUCUUAGCCAACUCAGGCUGGAAUAACAAAAUGCCAUAGGCUGGGGGGCUCCAAGAACAGACGUGGUUCCUCACAGGUCUGGAGGCUGGAGGUCUGAGGUCAGGAUGCUGGCAGCGGUGGGGUCCAGGGAGGGCUCCCUCCUGGUUCACGGACGGCCCCUCCUCCCUGUGUCCUCACACAGCAGAGAGAGGAGGCUCUGGUGUUGCUUCUCAUAGGAGCCCUAAUCUCAUCACGAGAGCUGCACCCUCGUGGCCUCGUCCCCUCCCAAAGGCCCCACUUCCUAACACAUUGCAAUGGAGGAUAGAUUCCCCAUAUGAAUUUCAUGGGGCACAAACGCUCCAUCCUCAGCAGGGGCAAUAGUGGUUUGAGUUGGAGCCAAACUCUUGAUCAGAGAAAGGCAAGGGAGAGCAGGUCCCUGGAGAGAUGAGUCCACAGCACAGGCCAGCUAAGGAGACAGCCAGGCUGGCAGGCUUUGUCAAGGUCAAAGGUGCCAGACCCUGUGUGGGCACUGAAUAAAACCAGCCACCCAGGCCAGGCGCGGCGGCUCAUGCCUGUCAUCCUAGCACUUUGGGAGGCUGAGGCGGCAGAUCUUCUGAGGUCAGGAGUUCGAGACCAGCCUGACCAACAUGGCAAAACCUCGUCUUGACUAAAUAUACAAAAAUUAGCUGGGUGUGGUGGUGGGGACCUAUAAUCCCAGCUACUCAGGAGGCUAAGACAGGAGAAUCGCUUGAACCCAGGAGGCAGAGGUUGUAGUAAACUGAGAUCGCACCAUUGCACUACAGCCUGGGUGACAAGUGAGACUCCGUCUAAAAAAAAAAAAAAAGAAAAAGCAAAAGAAAAACACAAGAGGCCCUUGAAAUGGCCAUGCUCUCCAGCUCAGGUCCUCCCAGCCUUUCCCUGCCAAAGUCCAGCUCAGGUCCUCCCUGUGUCUCCCUGCUGAGGGGUUGGAUGAUGAAUCACUGGUGGGUCAGGUUCCUCUGUCUCCUGUACUUUGUAUAAACUGGUGCUUUUCAGAAUAAAGACACCGUCCUCGUUCAUUAUGUUUUAUUAAGAAACAUGGCCAGGCGCAGUGGUUCAUGCUUGUAGUCCCAGCACUUUGGGAGGCCAAAGCGGGUGGAUCACCUGAGGUCAGCGGUUCGAGACCAGCCUGGCCACUAUGGUGAAACCUCGUCUCUACUAAAAAUACAAAAAUUAGCCAAGUGUAGUGGUGUGUACCUGUAAUCCCAGCUACUUGGGAGGCUGAGGUAAGAGAAUAGCUUGAACCCAGGAGGCAGAGGUUACAGUGAGCCGAGAUCACACCACUGCACUCCAGCCUGGGUGACAGUGAGACUCUGUCUGAAAAAGGUUCUAGGUAACUCCUCGCCUCCUACUUUGUGUCUUUGUUCUCCUGAGCUGAAAACCUCUAUUCCCAAGCAGACUGCCCUGAGGACCCGGUUACUUUCCCCUACACUUGCACCCAGGGCCCGGGGCACCAGCACCAAUGCUGCCCAUAGUAGCAUGGACCCCGGACACAGCGGGAUGUCGAGGGCCCUUUGUUUUCUAUUUUCCCAGCUUUUGUCCCAUCUGGGAGUUCCAGCCACAUCUCCGUGUUUUAUUGUCUUUGAAACAGGAGUCAUCAGCGUGGUUUUGCCAUCACUUGGUGCAUAGUUAGGCUGUUGCUUGUUUUUGCUUUCCAUUUUUAGGGAUUGAUCCUUUCAUACUUACGUAAAACACUGAUGAGGGGUCAAAGUUGCCUCUAAACAAAGCUGGGGCUGCCCAGAGAACCUGAGCUCACAUCCCCUCCACCCUUUCCCCUUUCGACCCUCAAAGGUAAAACAUUCUAAAAGUUUUACAGAUCGUUCUUUCAUUUUUACAAUUCUACAUACUUGGAUACAAGAUGCACGUGUGUAUCCAGAUAAAACCACUCGGUUUGCUGAAGGCAAGGCGGCCAGACGGGGCUCCCUCGGAGCGCUCAGGCUCUGGCCGGCACUUAAAGGAAAAGGACCUUCGUGACAGACCGGGAAAUACCAGGAGCCAAAGCCCCCUGGUCAGGGGUGACCACCUCAUUUCAGGACUGAGGAUGAAGGCUCCCCAGGCCCAGAGGGAGCCGGUGGAAAAGCUCUCGUCCUAGGAAAUCCUGUCUGCAGCACUCCCCGUGCCCCCAGGGGGCUCUCGUUUUCCCAAAGAACUCACAUGAGAGCCUGGUUUCCCAUGGCACUGGAGGGUCCAGUUCUUUGUUACGUGGUAGAAAUGUGUGUGGGAAGAGCCAGGCUGGCAGAAGCGGGCGGCGAAGGCUGGGAUGGCGUGGUCAGCGUCAUGAAGGCAGCAUCCCUGGAGAAGAAGCUCCUCUGAGCCAUGAUCACAGCAAAGUGGCACUCCUCUGCGCUAAGACGCACUCCACACCCUGCUCUGUCAUCUUUGUGGUGAAAGAGUGGCUUCAAAAUGUCAUCGGAGCAAACGGGGACAAGUCGUACCUGGCAGGACACUGAGCCGUGCACGGCUGCCCCCCCCCCCCCCCGCCCCCAGCGUCUGCAGUGGAAACCGAGUCCCUGGGGAGAGGAGAAAAGCUUCCUGGAAGGAGGAGGUGUUCACUUUCUACCCAAAAUAUCCCACAUUCUCCAGGUCCCUCUAUUUUUCUUCUUUUCUUUGCCCAUGGGGAGAGGUCCUAGGAGGGUGUCGGCACAGAGCAGGGGCAGGGAGGGUUGGACCAGUCCCAUGCCUGCUGGGCUGGGUCAGGGUGUCAGUUGUGGGGGAUAAUGUUGGAAAAGCACUGAGAAUCAGCCAGGCCCGCCUCACCAGGACUGGGAAGAGGGAUCCCACGGCCUGGGGUAGGGGCCCCACUGCCCUGGGCUGGGGUCCCGGCUGCCCAUGGGACCAGGAUCCCGGUCGCCUUAAAGGGGGUGCCAGCUGCCCUAGGGGGUAUCUCAGCUAAGAGGGGAAAGGUCUCAGCUGCACAGGCUGUGGGGAGGUUUCAGCUGCCUGGGGGUCGGGGGUCCCCACCAGUCACAGCUCCCGGGGGUUGUUCUCAGCACCUGGAAGGCAUGCGUGAGCUUUUGCCCCCAGGCCUCGCCAGGGCCAGUUCUAGGUGCUAUGACGCGUCGAGAGCCAAACAAAGCCCGUGGCCCUCACAGGACUGCACAUCCAGCAGCAGGAGACAGGAGGAGGCAAGGGACCUGCGAGAAGCGGGAAGACCCAGGACUCAGCAGGGUGAGCAGAGCAGACUUGCUACGACAGCAGGGCAGCCAGCAGGGAGCUGUCAGCACAGCAACGCAAAGCCCAAGGC